AGCGAACGCUGGCGGCAGGCUUAACACAUGCAAGUCGAACGGGCUUCUUCGGAAGUCAGUGGCAGACGGGUGAGUAACACGUGGGAACGUGCCCUUCGGUUCGGAAUAACUCAGGGAAACUUGAGCUAAUACCGGAUACGCCCUUUUGGGGAAAGGUUUACUGCCGAAGGAUCGGCCCGCGUCUGAUUUGCUUGUUGGUGGGGUAACGGCCUACCAAGGCGACGAUCAGUAGCUGGUCUGAGAGGAUGAUCAGCCACACUGGGACUGAGACACGGCCCAGACUCCUACGGGAGGCAGCAGUGGGGAAUAUUGGACAAUGGGCGCAAGCCUGAUCCAGCCAUGCCGCGUGAGUGAUGAAGGCCUUAGGGUUGUAAAGCUCUUUUGUCCGGGACGAUAAUGACGGUACCGGAAGAAUAAGCCCCGGCUAACUUCGUG
rnacentral:rRNA from 1 species